rnacentral:lncRNA from 1 species
UAAUCAGGCAGCCCAGCGGUCCCUUCAAACCGAGGCAGGGAAGCUCUACGUCUUGGGGGCCGCAUGGUGCCGAGAGCGCAGACCAGACCCGCCCCGCCUCUCCGUGCCACGCACGCGCUCGGCUCCGCGCUUAAUGCAACGCGAAUGAAAUUUGGUGCCAUCACUCGGAUCAGGGGACCUCCCUUGGGAGAUCAAUCCCCUGUCCUCCUGCUCUUUGCUCCAUGAGAAAGAUCCACCUACGAUCUCUGCUCCUCAGACCAACCAGCCCAAGGAACAUCUCACCAAUUUUAAAUCGGAUCUUCUCAGCUUAGCGGCUGAAGACUGAUGCUGCCAGAUGACUUUGGAAGCCCCCUGGACCAUCACAGAUGCCCAGCUUUGGAUAACUCUUACAGUGGAGGACAGGAAUAUCAGGUCUCUGAGCCCAAGCUAAGCCAUCAUAUCCCCUGUGACCUGCAUGUAUGCAUCCAGAUGGCCUGAAGUAACUGAAGAAUCACAAAAGAAGUGAAAAUGGCGCGUGCCUGCCUUAACUGAUGACAUUACCUUGUGAAAUUCCUUCUCCUGGCUCAUCCUGGCUCAAAAGCUCCCCCACUGAGCACCUUGUGACCCCCACUCCUGCCUAACAGAGAACAAUCCCCUUUGACUGUAAUUUCCCACUACCUACCCAAAUCCUAUAAAACGGCCCCACCCCUAUCUCCAUUCACUGACUCUUUUUGGACUCAGCCCACCUGCACCCAGGUGAAAUAAACAGCCUUGUUGCUCACACAGAA